AACGCACAUUGCGCCCUUUGGUAUUCCGAAGGGCAUGCCUGUUCGAGCGUCAUUAUCAACCAUCAAGCCUGGCUUGUCGUUGGACCUCUGGUCGCGAGACCGGUCCGAAAGAUAACGGACGGGACCUAGUCGCCCUAGAUGCAACGAGCUUCACAGCGCGCAUCGACCGGUUGCGGGCCCCGCCCUCCAACCCCAUUUUCUCAGGUUGACCUCGGAUCAGGUAGGAAUACCCGCUGAACUUAA
rnacentral:misc_RNA from 1 species